rnacentral:ncRNA from 1 species
GUUAGCAAUGGGAAUGAAAUUUUUUGAAUAAUCUUUUCUUCCCCUAGAAGAAAAAAAAUAGGGGAAGAAAAGAUAAUGAUGUUUAUAUAGCAUAUAAACUAUUGAUUUUAAAUUUCUUUAUGUUAUUUAAUAAAAGAUGAUUAAAUAGAAGAUAGAUUUUCUAAUUUUAGAUGAUAAAAAUAGGAUUUAAAUUAUGCCUGGCGAAGUUUGUGCCAGCCGCCGCGGUUACACAGACGGGUUAAAAUUGUUUGGGUUGUUAGAAUAAGGAAUUUUUUAAUUUUUUUUUAAAAAGGUGAAAUUUUUAAAAGAUUUUUGGAGUUUGGUUUCUUAAAAUUAAUUAUUAAACUAGGAUUAGAUACCCUAUUAUUUAUUAGAGUUAUAUUGGGAGUAUGUAAAGAUUGUGAAAUCAAAAGAUUAUGGCGGUAUUUUAAGCUUUUUAGAGGAAUUUGCUCUGUAAUUGAUAUGACACCAAUAUCUGACUUAAUUUUGUAAUGACAGUUUGUAUAUCGCUAUGUUGGAAUUAUAUUAAAAGGUUAUAAUUAGGAGAUAUUUUUUUUAGAAUGUUAGGUCAAGAUGCAGCAUAUAUUUGAGGUUGAAGUGAAUUACGAAAAUUUUUAUUAGUUAAAGAAUGAAAUUAAAAAUAGGAUUUAAAAGUAAAAUGGAAUUAUAAUGUUUAUUUGAAUUAAGCUCUAGAAUAUGUACAUAUCGCCCGUCGCUCUCUAAUUGAGAUAAGUCGUAACAAAGUAAGAGUACUGGAAAGUGCUCUU